rnacentral:rRNA from 1 species
GACUGGUCAAUUUAUUGGACAGUUAGUGGCGAAAGGGUUAGUAACGGGUAGGUAACGUACCCUGUGCUUUGGGAUAGCGUCAUCCCGACUUCGGUCGGGAUUUCCGAAAGGGGCGGUAAUACCAAAUAAUAUCACUUGUUUAUAGGCAGGUGAUCAAAGAUUUAUCGGCACAGGAGCGGCCUGCCUCCUAUCAGCUUGUUGGUGAGGUAACGGCUCACCAAGGCAGCGACGGGUAGCGGGACUGAGAGGUUGACCCGCAACAUCGGGACUGAGACACUGCCCGGACCUCCACGGAGGGCUGCAGUAACGAAUAUUGUGCAAUGGGCGAAAGCCUGACACAGCGACGCCGCGUGCGGGAGGAAGUCCUUCGGGAUGUGAACCGCUGUCAGGGGGAAGAAAGUGCGCUUCGGUGCAUUGAUCUAACCCAAAGGAAGUCACGGCUAACUUCGUGCCAGCAGCCGCGGUAAGACGAAGGUGGCAAGCGUUGUUCGGUAUCACUGGGCUUAAAGCGUGUGUAGGCGGAAAAGUAAGCGUUUCGUGAAAGCCCCCGGCUUAACCGGGGAACUGCGCAAUGAACUGCUUUUCUUGAGGCAAGUAGGGGCGCAUGGAACUCUUGGUGGAGCGGUGGAAUGCGUAGAUAUCAAGAGGAACGCCAGUGGAGAAAUCGGUGCGCUGGGCUUGUCCUGACGCUGAGACACGAAAGCGUGGGUAGCGAACGGGAUUAGAUACCCCGGUAGUCCACGCCGU